UACGUAGGGCGCAAGCGUUGUCCGGAAUUAUUGGGCGUAAAGAGCUCGUAGGCGGUCUGUUGCGUCCGCUGUGAAAACUCGGGGCUUAACCCCGAGCCUGCAGUGGAUACGGGCAGACUAGAGGUAGGUAGGGGAGAAUGGAAUUCCCGGUGCAGCGGUGAAAUGCGCAGAUAUCAGGAGGAACACCGGUGGCGAAGGCGGGUCUCUGGGCAACAACUGACGCUGAGGAGCGAAAGCGUGGGGAGCGAACAGG
rnacentral:rRNA from 1 species